CAAAAGUCCAAAGCAGAUGCACUGGCUUGAGGGGUCAUCAGCUUUGAAUGAAUGUUCCAGCAGCACCAUCCUCCAGGCACAGGAAUGCCAACAGGCACCCCUCUUGUCCUGAGGAUAGUCAUCAGAUGCUGCAUCUUCUAAAUUGAGCCUCCAGUCCUUCUAGUUCUGUACUAUGAACUUUGCUUCCAGAAGAUUCCUAAGCUAUAGAACAUUUUAGUAUUGAUGCAACAAUGUUAAAUCGUUAAUCACAACCAGUGUGAUGCCUUUUAGAUGGCACUUGGAGAUGGAGCCCAGAGACCCCUCACCUACCCACCUGCUUACUUGCCUGCCUGAAUGCACAUUUGCCAGAGAAAUUCUUAGUGUGAUGAUAAAACUUUUGGAUGUUGCGGGGGGGAAGCUGUUCAAUUUUAAAUGCCUUAGGCAGAUUGGAUUUGUUAGCUAAAGCAGAUUGUCAAAUUGUGGGGACUCAUGUUUUGAGCUACAGUGGGAGAGGACAAGCUGGUCAUGCCCAGGAGCUGUGUGUUGGUAGGGGAUCUGGGCAUUCUAAUGGAAUAGAACAUUACUAAGAAGGGAAUGAUGGGCAUACCAGUAGUGGAUGGGUUAUGGUAUUUUGUUUCCUGGUGAUGCAGAUUGAACAGGGCCUUGGGCAUUAUAGGCAAGUGCUCUGCCACUGAGCUACAGCCCCAGCCCAGAUCUUUGAUUCCCCCUGACACUUUAUUUUUUUUUUAA
rnacentral:lncRNA from 1 species